GAAAACUUGGAGUACAUUGCGAACUUGGAGCACAGAAGUUGCAGCAAGAAUCAGAGCAGCAGAACUUAAACUUGACAGAAAAUCCAGAAGAGAACUUAGAGGAGCAGAAGUUGCAGCAAGAAUCAGAACAUCAGAACUUAAACUUGAAAGAAAAUCCAGAAGAGAAGUUAGAGGAGCUGAAGUUGCAGCAAGAAUCAGAACAUCAGAACUUAAACUUGAAAGAAAAUCCAGAAGAGAACUUAGAGGAGCAGAAGGUGCAGCAAGAAUCAGAUCAUCA